AACGAACGCUGGCGGCAGGCCUAACACAUGCAAGUCGAGCGAGAUCUUCGGGUCUAGCGGCGGACGGGUGAGUAACGCGUGGGAAUAUGCCUCUUGGUACGGAAUAGCCUCGGGAAACUGGGAGUAAUACCGUAUGUGCCCUUUGGGGGAAAGAUUUAUCGCCAAGAGAUUAGCCCGCGUUGGAUUAGGUAGUUGGUGGGGUAAUGGACUAACAAGCCGACGAUCCAUAGCUGGGUUGAGAGGAUGAGCAGCCACACUGGGACGGAGAAACGGCCCAGACUCCAACCGGAGGCAGCAGUAGGGAAGGAUGGAGAGAGGGAGCUAGUAUAGUAAACACAUACCGUGUGAGUGAAUAAGGCCCGAAGGAGGGAGAGCGCCCGCAGCAGGCAAGAUACAGGCGGAACGGGGAGAAUAGGCGCCAGCUAACUCCGUG
rnacentral:rRNA from 1 species